GUGCUCGCUUCACCAGCACAUAUACUAAAACUGGAACGAUACAGAGAUUAGCAUCACCCUGCAAAAGGAUGACACGUAAAUUCGUGAAGCAUUCCAUAUUUUU